GAGGCUACGAAACCAAACUUAUCUAUCUUUUUAUUAUCAUUAUUUUGUUUUGUUUUUUUGUUUUUUUUUUUUAGAAAUUAUGUACUAUCCAUUUCCCUUAGUUGUUACCUUUAACAAAAGAGCAUAAAUAAUGUAAUAAUCCAAUGUGCAACUCACAAUCAUAUGUUAAAGUGUGUGUGUGAAAAUGAAGAUUUAAAAAUACUUGUUAAAUGAGCAUAUGAGCAGAAUCAAGUGCUACCAAUACGAGAGUUUGUAAACCUAAAUAUUUCAAGAAGUAUUCUGAUAGACCUUGUUAAGAAUGUUUACUAAGAUGCGUCUCAAGAGUCACUUUAACAAAAGAACUCAUUUUACUCUGCCAUCCUAGUACCAACAGUUUUCCAAAUAGUUUAUGAAAUAAAAAACACAGUUUUUUUU
rnacentral:lncRNA from 1 species